rfam:Stegodyphus mimosarum contig120762, whole genome shotgun sequence.
GCCUUCGUGGUGUAAUGGUUUGCAUGCUCGGUGGGUAUUCGAGAGGUUCGUGGUUCGAGUCCCGGCGAGGACA